rnacentral:rRNA from 1 species
UACGGAGGGUGCAAGCGUUGUUCGGAAUCACUGGCGUAAGGGUGCGUAGGCGGGUCUUUAAGUCAGGGGUGAAAUCCUGGAGCUCAACUCCAGAACUGCCUUUGAUACUGAAGAUCUUGAGUUCGGGAGAGGUGAGUGGAACUGCGAGUGUAGAGGUGAAAUUCGUAGAUAUUCGCAAGAACACCAGUGGCGAAGGCGGCUCACUGGCCCGAUACUGACGCUGAGCACAAAGC